rnacentral:lncRNA from 1 species
GUUUUCCCUUAAGAGAACUAGACAUUGGUAGCUCACAUAUUACAUGUUGGUUAUAAAAACCUCCCACCAAAAAAGAGUAACCUUAACAUAAAAGUAUAACAGAAAAGCAUCUAUAAACUAUGUGUGAAGGCUCACGAUUUAAUUCAGAUAUUGUUUUACAUAAUUCAUUAGCCAUGAAAUUUCCAUUUUUAGUUUACAGAUACAAAGGUGAGUCCUUUUACACUUAUCUU